rnacentral:rRNA from 1 species
CCUACGGGAGGCAGCAGUGGGGAAUAUUGCGCAAUGGGCGAAAGCCUGACGCAGCGACGCCGCGUGAGGGAUGAAGGUCUUCGGAUCGUACACCUCUGUCAGCAGGGAAGAACGGUCACUGUGCUAAUCAGCAGUGAAUUGACGGUACCUGCAAAGGAAGCACCGGCUAACUCCGUGCCAGCAGCCGCGGUAAUACGGAGGGUGCGAGCGUUAAUCGGAAUUACUGGGCGUAAAGCGCUCGUAGGCGGUAUGGCAAGUCAAGGGUGAAAUCCCCGGGCUCAACGUGGGAACUGCCUUUGAAACUGGCAAACCGGAGUGUGUGAGGGGAUAGUGGAAUUCCAGGUGUAGGAGUGAAAUCCGUAGAUAUCUGGAGGAACAUCAGUGGCGAAGGCGAGUAUCUGGCACAUAACUGACGCUGAGGAGCGAAAGCGUGGGUAGCAAAAAGGAUUAGAUACCCGGGUAGUC